rnacentral:rRNA from 1 species
CGAAACAGUGAUGUGGAGCAAAACUCAAAGAAAUAGUCUCAGUUCGGAUUGAAGGCUGAAAUUCGCCUUCAUGAAGCCGGAAUUGCUAGUAAUGGCAGGUCAGCAUACUGCCGUGAAUACGUUCCCGGGCCUUGUACACACCGCCCGUCACACCAUGAGAGUUGGAAAUACCCGAAGCCUGUGAGCUAACUGUAAAGAGGCAGCAGUCGAAGGUAGAGCCAAUGAUUGGGGUGAAGUCGUAACAAGGUACC